rnacentral:lncRNA from 1 species
ACUUUUUGAUGAUUUAAAAAAGUUUUUAGUCAUGCCAGUUUGUACUAAAUAUUAUUUUUUUAAAUGGUGUGAGUUUUCUCUCUGUGAAUGAGCCCUCAGAGGAAAGGAAAAAAUUUAUAGAGAUGAAGAAAACAAUCUAAGGCCACACCAAUUUAAUUCCUUGUUCGACGGACCCACCCGCACCUAUUUUUUUCAAAGUAGAUUUUUUUUUUUUUUU